CGCCUCCUGCCGCCUCCUAGCGGCCCGGGCCGCGACCACGCUGCCCACCCCGCCCAGAGCCCGGGGCCCCGCACUCCGCUGCCGUGGAGCGGCAUUUCCCGGGGUACCCCGAGCUGCCCUCCUGUGACUCCCUGGCGGGGCGGCUGGUCAGAGUGUGCCUCUGGGCCGGUGGGCGACCCGGAGGAGGGGGAAGAUGUCGCCGGCUACGGGCGGAGGCCUGGCAGAGUCCGAACUGCGUCCCCGGAGGGGCCGCUGUGGGCCCCAGGCUGCUAGGGCCGCAGGCCGGGACGUGGCCGCCGAGGCUGCGGCGCGAAGCCCCAAACGGCCUGCCCGGGGCUCACGGCGCUUCGAAGCGGCCGGCCGGUGGGCCCUGCUGGCCUUGGUGACGCUGCUGUCCUUCGCCACCCGUUUCCACCGCCUGGCCGAGCCGCCGCACAUCUGUUGGGAUGAGACUCACUUUGGAAAAAUGGGAAGUUACUAUAUCAACCGUACGUUUUUCUUUGACGUGCACCCGCCUCUGGGAAAGAUGCUGAUAGGUCUUGCUGGCUACCUGAGUGGAUAUGAUGGUACCUUUUUGUUCCAGAAGCCUGGGGAUAAAUAUGAGCAUCACAGCUACAUGGGAAUGAGAGGAUUCUGUGCAUUCCUUGGCUCCUGGCUGGUCCCCUUUGCCUACCUCACUGUACUGGAUCUGUCUAAGUCCCUCUCGGCAGCAUUGCUCACCGCUGCCCUCCUCACCUUUGAUACGGGAUGCCUCACUCUGUCCCAGUACAUCCUCCUGGACCCCAUCCUGAUGUUCUUCAUCAUGGCUGCCAUGCUGAGCAUGGUCAAGUACAACUCCUGCGCCAACAGGCCCUUCUCUGCCCCCUGGUGGUUCUGGCUCAGCCUGACUGGUGUUAGUCUUGCUGGUGCUUUAGGGGUCAAGUUUGUUGGCCUCUUUAUCAUCCUUCAAGUGGGGCUGAACACCAUUGCAGACCUUUGGUACCUGUUUGGAGACCUCAGUCUUUCAUUGGUGACUGUGGGAAAACACCUGACUGCUCGUGUCCUGUGCCUCAUAGUGCUGCCCCUGGCUCUCUACACGGCCACCUUUGCUGUUCACUUCAUGGUGCUGAGUAAAAGUGGCCCUGGUGACGGUUUCUUCAGUUCUGCCUUCCAGGCCCGGCUUUCAGGGAACAACCUGCACAAUGCUUCCAUCCCUGAACACCUGGCCUACGGCUCUGUGAUUACUGUGAAGAACCUCCGAAUGGCCAUCGGCUAUCUGCACUCGCACAGGCACCUCUACCCCGAGGGCAUUGGUGCCCGUCAGCAGCAGGUCACCACCUAUUUGCACAAGGACUACAACAACCUGUGGAUUAUCAAGAAACAUAACACAAAUUCAGAUCCCCUAGACCCUUCCUUCCCAGUGGAGUUUGUAAGACAUGGAGACAUUAUUCGACUAGAACACAAAGAAACUUCCCGGAACUUGCACAGUCACUAUCAUGAGGCCCCCCUGACCCGGAAGCACUAUCAGGUCACCGGCUAUGGCAUAAAUGGAACAGGGGACUCAAAUGAUUUCUGGCGGAUUGAGGUUGUAAACAGAAAAUUUGGAAACCGGAUCAAAGUGCUGAGAAGUCGAAUUCGCCUCAUCCAUUUGGUCACAGGUUGUGUCCUGGGCUCCUCGGGAAAGGUUCUGCCCAAGUGGGGCUGGGAGCAGUUGGAAGUUACUUGCACCCCAUACCUGAAAGAAACCCUCAACUCCAUCUGGAAUGUGGAGGACCAUAUCAAUCCCAAGUUGCCAAACAUCAGCCUGAAUGUGCUGCAGCCCAGUUUUCCUGAGAUCUUGCUAGAAUCCCACAUGGUCAUGAUCCGGGGGAACAGUGGCCUCAAACCCAAGGACAAUGAGUUCACAUCCAAACCCUGGCACUGGCCUAUCAACUAUCAGGGCCUACGCUUCUCAGGGAUCAAUGACACAGACUUCCGAGUCUAUCUGCUUGGCAACCCGGUGGUUUGGUGGCUGAAUCUGUUGAGCAUCGCCCUCUACCUCCUCUCAGGGAGCAUCAUUGCUAUAGCCAUACAGAGAGGGGCACAGCUGCCAGCGGAGGUUGCAGGUCAGGUCCCCUGGGGCUCUCCCUCCCCUGACCUGGUGGUGGCAGAGUGCCUGCACCCCUGGGGAGGGCCGGCUGCCUGCUGAUGGGCCAUCCUUUAUGUUUACCACCCCACACCUUCCCUUAUCCUUUGCUUUUGAAAGCUAACGACCCCCAAGUACCCAGUGCUGUGUUAAACACUUUACUUCCUCCCAACAACCCUAGAGCGUUGGUUAUUAUGACCCCAUUUUAUGGAUUAGGAAACCAAGGAACCAAGAGAUUAAGAAACUUGUCCCAGGAUAUACAGCUAGGUUGUCCCAGGUCCUGCUGCGAGGAGGCGGCCAGGUCCUGCUCGGCUGGACACUCCAUUACUUCCCGUUCUUCCUGAUGGGCCGGGUCCUCUACUUCCACCACUAUUUCCCAGCCAUGCUCUUCUCAAGCAUGUUGACAGGCAUUCUGUGGGACACCCUCCUGCGGCUCUGUGCCUGGGGCUUGGCCUCUUGGCCCCUGGCAAGAGGCAUACACGUGGUGGGAAUCCUGAGCCUGCUCCUGGGAACCGCCUACAGCUUCUACCUCUUCCACCCUCUGGCUUAUGGGAUGGUUGGUCCCCUGGCCCAGGACCCCCAAAGUCCGAUGGCAGGACUAAGGUGGCUAGACUCAUGGGACUUUUGAGGCCACUGCAAAGAUUCCAUCCUGGGUCCAGGACUUCCCAGGAGAGCCAGCUGGGGAGCAGUACUGGACCCUUCCAACUGUGAGGAAGCUGCCUAAGGAGCCUGAAGAAUUCUGCCCACCAGGACCCAGCUCUGGGAGUGCAGCGGGAACGGAACCCAGCAUUGGAGAGAGCCGGGAGAGAGCCGCAGCUCCGUCCACAGCACCACAGAACCACAGCACCACAGAACCACAGAGAGGACAGCACCUCUCAGGCUGCUCCCUCGUGCACAGCGCAGGGGAGGACGGGUGCCAGAGGGUGGAUGUGGGGGUGUGUGUGUGUAUGUGAGGGCACAUUGUCCAUAUCCCUGUGGAAUACAGGCCAUGUAACUGUGGACAGCUGAGUGUCAUCAACUAAAAUAGUCCAGGCUAUAGUAUUUUCUGGUAUUUUUUUCAUGUUGGAUUUCUUUGGUUUUAGUUUGUAAGAUCCAUCAAAAGUUCUCAGACCUCUAAGAGGGCCUUGAGGGCAGAGAAUACUGACCUCACCUUGGGAUGUCACCAAAGGCAGAGCAGAUGGGACUGUCAAAGUUGUGCUGCCCUCCCUCCCACAAACAGAUGAAUCCAGCAUGGAGAAAGGCGCACCGCCCCGAGCUGGAGGGCCUGGCUCCCACCACGCCCCCCAGCGACUGCAGGUAGCUGGACUUCCUGCCCGUGACGCACAGAAAGCACCGGAUUCCGGAGCCUCGGCCUGCCUUAGUCCUUGGUUCCUCGUUUUUUGGGAUUGUCACACUGUGAGACUCAGGGGAGGAAUGAUGUCCUAUCCUGGGCUGCUCAGUGUUUCCAGGCCCCGUGUGCCAGAGGCCGGGUCUCUCCAAGUGCAUCUGGCCUGGAGGGCAAGGCAGAUGCAUUCUCCUGGCUGCUGGGAGAGCCCUUGGGAACCUUGCUUAGCGCCCAAGGUAGAUGAGAGACAGGACAGGGAAUCUGCGUGGUGCUGGGGUAUGGGGACUCUGGCCUUUCCAGACUAAUGUUCCUGUCACCUGCUGAGCUUUCCCAGCGUCACUUCUACAGUCCUCCUCUGCUGACCCCUCCCUCACUCUGUGGGCAAUUCCCUUUCUGUCACUGCUGCAGCAAUGAAGACCCACGGCACCUAGAAACGCAUCCCAGCUUCCUGCGUCUACCACGCUGCAGCUCGAACAAGAAGCUCAGAGCUGCCCCUUCCACUUCCUCCCCGAAAGGGAUGAAGAAAACCCUGUGGUAGAACCAAACCACCCAAGGCCAGCCCUUCAGCCUGCCUCCUCCUUCCUGGUGCAUGACAAAAUAUUUCUUAUGUCUCAGAGGACUUUGAUGCUUCAAGAUUUAAUGAUGAAUCUGCCACACUCCAUUUUCCCUCCUCUGUAGCUCCCAACAACUCUGACAGGGUCAGAUCUCUUUAAAGCAUCUUCAGGAGAUGGUUGCCACGGAGACUGGAUAUUGGUCCCAGGGACAGGCUGUGCUACCUACUGGGUGGUGGGGAGGGAAGCUUCUGGCCAUGCUUGGACAUUCAAACCAACCAUCAUUAAUGUUAAUAGAGGAAAUGCAGCAACAUCAAAAGCAAGGCAGGUUGGUUAAUUAGAUCUGGGGCCUGAUGACCUCCCUCUCCCACCGCUACAGCCCUUUUGACUUCCCCCAGCAGGAAGCGCUGUCUGUGCGGCUGAGUCUGGGCUGCUUGCUUAAUUGCAUUUCUGGCAGGGAAGGAGAGGAGGGAUGCAGAAGCUCUGCUCCCUGCUCCCACCUCACCAUGUUUCCUCCCCUCCCCUCCCUUCCUCUCCUCCCCACAGGCAGAAUUGCUUUCUUCUGAGCCGGGUGGGCUCUCCUGCAGGUAGAAUGCAGGGAUCUGUGCUUGGCUCUCAGCAAAGCAGGUGGCCCACAGUGACCUCCAGGAGGUGGCUGAUUUUCCUUUGUGCCUUCUCGUUUCUCAGUAGGAACUUGGAAGGGAGGAGCUCUGAAGGAGCCAGAGGGGCAGCCACCCCGCAUGAGGGUGAGGAAGGAGAAGCCCAGCAGCCUCUACCAUCCCUCCCUCCCAGUUAGGCUGCACUGGGGCCAAACGCUUCCCUGGGCUCCCACUGCCUUCUAAGGAGCCAAGGAGAAUUUCCUGCCCACUUUCUCUUCCUCCAUGCCCAUACUGGCAGGUGCUUCUCUGGGGGCAAGGUCACAUGGGUUGAUGUAGCUUUGAGUGCUGAGGUUCUGUUUUCUGCAAGAUGCUGGAGAAAGGCUGUCAGGGUGCUUCUCUCAAUAUGGGCUUUAGCCUUAGCACUGGCAGAAACGUGAUGUGUCCCACAAACCGCUGGUAGAGGAAGAUGUUCGUCAGUCAGUUCAACCUCCAUCCAGCUUCUUGAGCCUAUUUGGUUUAAAAAAAAAAAAAGGCUUCUAAUCAGAAGCCACUGACUUUUAUAAUAAAUAGCAGUUGUUUUGAA